UCAACGUGACGACGUCAAGGCGUUUCUUUGAUCUUGUUUAAAUAUUAAAUUACGGAUCCUGUUUCAUACAUACCACAUUAGUUUUCCGAUUUAUUUAACGAAAUCGCUGUAUACCUACUCGGAAAGGUAACAAAAUUCUUCGAAGAUCAAGCAGGUGGUAUAAAAUGAUAGUUACAUCUGAAAUGGUUACUGGGAACAUAUUUAUAAACAAAGAUCAGUGGUGUAACAUUAGAAAGAAACCAUUAUAAAACUCCUAAAGGGCAUCAAUCAUGGAUCAUAACACGGAGAUAGUAUCAUUUUCUCCAUUAGUUUGGCAAAAAAAACGUGUGAAAAGACCGUGUACCACACACCGAUGAUUGAUACGUCUGGGUAGCCCAUCGAGUAUGAUGAAUGACUCCAAAUACGUCUUUACAAUUACUUAAUAUACUUAUCCAUAUCACUAA